rnacentral:lncRNA from 1 species
UAGGAAUGCAAAUAGCAACUUCUUCAGUAUCUGUCUAUCAUGCCUCUCUCCUCAGCCUUCAGAUAACAUCCAAGAGGCUGCCAGAGAAGCAAAUCUAAAAGACGGAAGUCCCUGCCCUUCCCAUCACCCACUGCCCUGGUGUGGAUCCCUUCCAACAAGAGACAACACAGGCAAUGUUUGUAUUUUAAUGAAAAUGGCAGAGUUUAGACAGAAGAUGAAGGUCUAAAAGGAUGAACACUGGCAUUUCAACACAGGCCCACUGGCUCUCACCAUUUAUGGAAUUGCCUUGGCUACUCAAGGGACCAGAUGUUCCCUGGGGUUGUGACCCACUGCUCCUGCAUUUAGCCUCCUGGCUGGCUGCUUGCUUGCUUGGACUCAGCCCAGUACAGAUGGCAUUACUGCUAAAUCAGAGAGAAUGACACUCGGUUUCCUGGUCCUCCUUCAAGUUGCUACUUUGUUGGUAGUCAGAGACCUCUAACUCCUUACGGAAGGUGUGAUAUUGAGGAGAAAAGAAGUAACACAGUGUGAGUUAAGAGGUGAGUUACUCCUGACAGAGUACAGGCUCUACCUGCUGU